rnacentral:rRNA from 1 species
AANGGCAGCAAGUUCGCGAGGACAAGCAAAUCCCAUAAACCGUGGCUCAGUUCAGAUCGUAGGCUGCAACUCGCCUACGUGAAGGCGGAAUCGCUAGUAAUCGCAGGUCAGCAUACUGCGGUGAAUACGUUCCCGGGCCUUGUACACACCGCCCGUCACACCAUGGAAGUUGGCCACGCCCGAAGCCGUUACUCCAACCCUUGUGGAGGAGGACGUCGAAGGUGGGGCUGAUGACUGGGGUGAAGUCGUAACAAGGUAUCCGUACCGGAAGGUGCGGAUGGAUCACCUCCUAA